AAUAGAUACCCCGGUAGUCCACGCCCUAAACGAUGUCUACUAGUUGUCGGGUCUUCAUUGACUUGGUAACGCAGCUAACGCGUGAAGUAGACCGCCUGGGGAGUACGGUCGCAAGAUUAAAACUCAAAGGAAUUGACGGGGACCCGCACAAGCGGUGGAUGAUGUGGAUUAAUUCGAUGCAACGCGAAAAACCUUACCUACCCUUGACAUGGUCGGAACCCUGAAGAGAUUCGGGGGUGCUCGAAAGAGAACCGAUACACAGGUGCUGCAUGGCUGUCGUCAGCUCGUGUCGUGAGAUGUUGGGUUAAGUCCCGCAACGAGCGCAACCCUUGUCAUUAGUUGCUACGAAAGGGCACUCUAAUGAGACUGCCGGUGACAAACCGGAGGAAGGUGGGGAUGACGUCAAGUCCUCAUGGCCCUUAUGGGUAGGGCUUCACACGUCAUACAAUGGUGCAUACAGAGGGUUGCCAACCCGCGAGGGGGUAGCCAAUCCCAGAAAGUGCAUCGUAGUCCGGAUUGCAGUCUGCAACUCGA
rnacentral:rRNA from 1 species